rnacentral:tRNA from 1 species
GCCGACGUAGCUCAGUUGGUAGAGCAACUGAUUCGUAAUCAGUAGGUCACGGGUUCAAAUCCCAUCGCCGGCUCCA